CAGCAGCCGCGGUAAUACGUAGGUGGCAAGCGUUGUCCGGAAUUAUUGGGCGUAAAGCGUGCGCAGGCGGUUAUGCAAGACAGAUGUGAAAUCCCCGGGCUCAACCUGGGAACUGCAUUUGUGACUGCAUGGCUAGAGUGCGGCAGAGGGGGAUGGAAUUCCGCGUGUAGCAGUGAAAUGCGUAGAUAUGCGGAGGAACACCGAUGGCGAAGGCAAUCCCCUGGGCCUGCACUGACGCUCAUGCACGAAAGCGUGGGGAGCAAACAGGAUUAGAUACCCCCGUAGUCCCUGUCUCUUAUAC
rnacentral:rRNA from 1 species